rfam:Brochothrix thermosphacta DSM 20171 = FSL F6-1036 c33, whole genome shotgun sequence.
CUAUAAUUAAGGAUAGAAAGUAUAACAAAUCGAUAUGUAUUAAGAUGUAGGGAAAGAGGUGUAAUUCCUCUACAGCCCCAAUCUACUGUGAGAAGGACGAAAUCUCAAUGACCACUGAAUAGUUAGCUAUUUGGGAAGGUGAGAGAGUAGGAUGAAUUUUAGUCAGAAUACCUCGCUUAAUACUUAUAGUUACU